rnacentral:rRNA from 1 species
GACGAACGCUGACGGUGUGCUUUAGACAUGCAAGUCGAGCGAGAAAGCCCUUCGGGUUAGUAAAGCGGCGAACGGGUGAGUAACACGUGGGCAAUCUGCCCCUCGCAGGGGGACAACCGGGGGAAACUCCGGCUAAUACCCCGUAAGCUAUGUGGAUCGCAUGGUUCACAUAGGAAAGGUAGCUUCGGGCCAUCCGGCGAGGGAUGAGCCCGCGGUACAUUAGCUAGUUGGUGGGGUAACGCCUACCAAGGCGGCGAUGUAUAGCUGGUCUGAGAGGAUGAUCAGCCACACUGGGACUGAGACACGGCCCAGACUCCUACGGGAGGCAGCAGUCGGGAAUCUUGCACAAUGGGCGAAAGCCUGAUGCAGCAACACCGUGUGAGCGAUGAAGGCCCUAGGGUCGUAAAGCUCUGUUGUUGGGGACGAAGGGCGAAGGGUUAA